rnacentral:rRNA from 1 species
UACAGAGGUCUCAAGCGUUGUUCGGAAUUAUUGGGCGUAAAGGGUGCGUAGGCGGCAGGGUAAGUUAGAUGUGAAAUACCGGUGCUUAACAUCGGAAUUGCAUUUAAGACUGCCUUGCUUGAGCAUUAGAGAGGAGACUGGAAUUUACGGUGUAGCAGUGAAAUGCGUAGAUAUCGUAAGGAAGACCAGUGGCGAAAGCGAGUCUCUGGCUAAAAUGCUGACGCUGAGGCACGAAAGCUGGGGGAGCAAACGGG